CCUACGGGAGGCAGCAGUGGGGAAUAUUGGACAAUGGGGGGAACCCUGAUCCAGCGACGCCGCGUGAGUGAAGAAGUAUUUCGGUAUGUAAAGCUCUAUCAGCAGGGAAGAAAGAAAUGACGGUACCUGACUAAGAAGCCCCGGCUAACUACGUGCCAGCAGCCGCGGUAAUACGUAGGGGGCAAGCGUUAUCCGGAUUUACUGGGUGUAAAGGGAGCGUAGACGGCGAUGCAAGUCUGAAGUGAAAGGCGGGGGCCCAACCCCUGGACUGCUUUGGAAACUGGAUGGCUGGAGUACAGGAGAGGUAAGUGGAAUUCCUAGUGUAGCGGUGAAAUGCGUAGAUAUUAGGAGGAACACCAGUGGCGAAGGCGGCUUACUGGACUGUAACUGACGUUGAGGCUCGAAAGCGUGGGGAGCAAACAGGAUUAGAUACCCGUGUAGUC
rnacentral:rRNA from 1 species